rnacentral:rRNA from 1 species
AAAAACAUGGCUCUUUGCUUACACAAAUAUAGAGAGUCGUGCCUGCCCAGUGAAUUUUUUAACGGCCGCGGUACUCUGACCGUGCAAAGGUAGCAUAAUCAUUUGCCUUAUAAUUGAAGGCUAGUAUGAAUGGUUUGACGAGAGCAACACUGUCUCCUUUUUAUUUUCAAGAACUUAACUUUUAGGUGAAGAGGCCUAAAUUCUAUUGAAGGACAAGAAGACCCUGUCGAGCUUAAAAGACAUCGCAGAAGUCUAAUAUAUUUUUAAAUAAAUUUUCUAUUAAGCUUUUUAGUUGGGGCGACUAAGGAACAAAAAAAGCUUCUUUCUAAUAAUAAACAAUCAUGUUUAGAUCCGAUAAUAACGAUUAAAGGAAUUAGUUACCGCAGGGAUAACAGCAUAAUCUCUCUUAAGAGACCUAAUCGAAAGAGGGGGUUGUGACCUCGAUGUUGGACUAGAAUAUCCUAAAGAUGCAGAAGUCUUUAAGGGUCGGUCUGUUCGACCGUUAAAAUUCUACGUGAUCUGA